rnacentral:rRNA from 1 species
GGGUUGUGAGGUUAAGCGAAUGAAGCGUACACGGUGGAUGCCUAGGCAGUCAGAGGCGAUGAAGGACGUGCUAAUCUGCGAAAAGCGUCGGUAAGCUGAUAUGAAGCGUACUAGCCGGCGAUGUCCGAAUGGGGAAACCCAGUGCAUUAAUGCACUAUCGUUUGAUGAAUUCAUAGUCAAACGAGGCGAACCGGGGGAAUUGAAACAUCUCAGUACCCCGAGGAAAAGAAAUCAACCGAGAUUCCCCCAGUAGCGGCGAGCGAACGGGGAGCAGCCCAGAGUCAACAUCAAUAUUUACCGCAGGAGAAGGGUCUGGAAAGGCCGGCAAUAAAGGGUGAUAGCCCCGUAUCUGAAACGGUAAGUGUUGUGAACUCGAAGAGUAGGGCGGGACACGUGUUAUCCUGUCUGAAUAUGGGGGGACCAUCCUCCAAGGCUAAAUACUCCUGACUGACCGAUAGUGAACCAGUACCGUGAGGGAAAGGCGAAAAGAACCCCGGCGAGGGGAGUGAAAUAGAACCUAAAACCGUGUACGUACAAGCAGUGGGAGCACCCGAAAGGGUGUGACUGCGUACCUUUUGUAUAAUGGGUCAGCGACUUAUAUUCUGUAGCAAGGUUAACCGGAUAGGGGAGCCGUAGGGAAACCGAGUCUUAACUGGGCGUUAAGUUGCAGGGUAUAGACCCGAAACCCGGUGAUCUAGCCAUGAGCAGGUUGAAGGUUGGGUAACACUAACUGGAGGACCGGA